GAGACUUCCUUAGUAACGAAGCUAACGCGUGAAGUUGGCCGCCUGGGGAGUACGGUCGCAAGAUUAAAACUCAAAGGAAUUGACGGGGACCCGCACAAGCAGUGGAUGAUGUGGAUUAAUUCGAUGCAACGCGAAAAACCUUACCUACCCUUGACAUGCCAGGAACUCUGCUGAGAGGUGGAGGUGCCCGAAAGGGAGCCUGGACACAGGUGCUGCAUGGCUGUCGUCAGCUCGUGUCGUGAGAUGUUGGGUUAAGUCCCGCAACGAGCGCAACCCUUGCCAUUAAUUGCCAUCAUUUAGUUGGGCACUUUAAUGGGACUGCCGGUGACAAACCGGAGGAAGGUGGGGAUGACGUCAAGUCCUCAUGGCCCUUAUGGGUAGGGCUUCACACGUCAUACAAUGGUCGGUACAGAGGGUUGCCAAGCCGCGAGGUGGAGCCAAUCCCACAAAGCCGAUCGUAGUCCGGAUUGUUCUCUGCAACUCGAGAGCAUGAAGUCGGAAUCGCUAGUAAUCGCAGGUCAGCAUACUGCGGUGAAUACGUUCCCGGGUCUUGUACACACCGCCCGUCACACCAUGGGAGUGGGUUGCAAAAGAAGUAGGUAGUCUAACCGCAAGGAGGGCGCUUACCACUUUGUGAUUCAUGACUGGGGUG
rnacentral:rRNA from 1 species